rnacentral:tRNA from 1 species
UGGCCGAGUGUUCAAAAGCGGUAGACUGUAAAUCUGUUGAAGUUAUUCUACGUAGGUUCGAAUCCUGU